UUCCCAAUCAUGAGCCUCAGGCUCCAGGAAGGAAGUGGGAAUAGGUGGAGGCCUUCCUUAGAGGAGACCCUGGGUUCUCUUCUCUGAGUAACCACACCCUUCCUCCUUAUCCCAUCUCCUGGACUCCCGUCCUCAUGCUCUCACCUACUUUUCCUUCCUUCUGUCUCGGUGGAGGAGGGGUCCCUUCUCUCAGCCCCAGACUCUUCAAAAAGGACUUCCUAGUGUCAAAAAGACAAGUGACAACAAGGGUUGGUGAGGAUGUGGAGCAAAGGGGACCCCGCACUGCUGGUGAGGGUACAAACUAUAGAAAGGAUGGAAGCAUCUCAAAAAGUGAUGACUAGAACCACCACAUGACCCAGCAAUUCCACCUGCAGACAUUUUCAUAUAUGAACAGAACUUUUGGGACUGCCAUCAUGUAAGCAAGGAUUCUCCGUGAUGUCCAAGCCUCUGAGAACACAUGUGGACAACUGCCUACACCUGCAAAGGGCUCAGCCUAUUGAGCGUAGCCAUGUGACAGCUCUGGCCAGUGAGCAAACAGCAAAAUCUGCCCUGGGUUCAGGGAAACUUUUUUUUACUUCCCAGAUGAAAGGAGAGAGCCUGGCUAGCAUGGUCCUGUCCCCUUCUCCUUGCCUUAAGAACGAAUCCUGGAGGCACAGCAGCUGUCUUGCCACCAUGAGGCGACAAGCACAAGGACAAAAUCCAACACGGUGAGGUUGGCAGAACAGGAAAAAGAACCUGAGUCUUGGAUGACCCAGCCUGGCCUGCCCCCCACUUCCCAUCACCUUGUGAUGUGAGAAAAACCCAUCUCAGUCCAUUGGAUCCACAGGAAAGAGCAGCUUCACGGCCUCGGGUGGAAAUUGCGGCUAUACUACACCACAUCAGAAUGUGCUGUUCUCAUUUAUUUUUUAAUACAAACCCAUCUUUGCAUGUGGGCCCUGGCAGAAAAUUGGUGGUUACGAAAUAUUGACGAAGGAGGUAACAUAGGAGGGUUCCAGCAAAAUAGAGUACCCGUUCCAUUUGUUAAGUGGACAUGUCAAACUGUGUGGAAGAGCCGCAGGAAGGUCCGUCCAGCUGGCCUGUGCCUGCAGCCAGCUGAUGGUGUCCCUCGGUGCCAUCGCGCUCCUUCGAGAAGCAAUAAAAAUGGCAUCCACCGGGCAACAGCUGACAGAUGCAAAGUGAUGCUCUGCACGUUACCAGCUGUCAGGACACGGAGUGCGGCCCGGCCACGGCAGACCCUUCCUCUUUACUCCCAUCAUCCUGACCCCUCUGAGCCCACUCAUGGCAGACAUAUGGCAGCCAUUUGGACUUACUUCUCCUUUCCCUAUAUCCAAGUCACGUUGACGAUGGGGGAUUUACCACCGCCCAAAAUGGAGUGUUUAGCUUUCUUUCAGAUCAUUCCAAACUUGGGGACUGCUAAAAGUUUUGUAACUACAUAAAUAUUUAUCUGCAAUUUUUGGUUACUAUAUAAACAUAGCCAACAUGACACUGGCCCCAGAUGUAGUUAAGUCACAUAAGAGUCUUCCAGUUAUAAAAAAGGGGAGCUAACCAACAAAGGGCCUUGGAACUGAUUCUUUUGAUCAUGAAAUAUUGGGGCUGCUAUUUUUAAUGCUGGGCUUUUCAGAUACCAAAGUAUGUUUAUCCUUAACUCUAUAUAAAUAUUCAGACCUCACUUACUGUCCACCAGCCGGCUUGCUUGAGCAUGCCCUGCAUCACAGAGGCACGAGAAAGAAUGUGGAUGGGGUGAUACAAGGCUUUACCUCUAUAAAUAACCUCAGGCUAACAGAGGGAAGCUGAAGAUGGCAAAUGUCACUUUGGGCUUUGUCACCUGUGAGGGAAAGAGAUUAUUUUUUAUGUUCAAGUGUCAUAUGUUUAUACUUGUCGGUGGGUUCUGGUUGACACUUAAGGAUGUCGGUAAAAGAGCUGAAUGAAGCACCAAAUGUCCCAGAUGGUAGCCACUCAAGUACACAGACCUAGGAAAAUAUGGAGCGAAUAUCAUUGUGCAUUCUUUUUUUAAAAAGAUUUUAUUUAUUUACAGAGAGAACAAGAGCAUGAGGAGGGGUAGGGGCAGGCAGAGGGAGAAGUAGAAGCAGACCCCCUGCUGAGCAAGAAGCCCCCACACAGGACUUGAUCCCAGGACCCUGGGAUCAUGACCUGAGCCAAAGGCAGAUGCUUAACUACCGAGUCCAGGGGCCCCCAUGCAUUCUUUUCUUACUCCCUGUUUAGCAUAAAGUUAACCCUCUGAAGCCAAGGGGUGAAGCGGGUGGGGUUUGUGCUCUUCAGAGCUGUGGUCUCAGGAGGAGGUCCCUGGCCAGACCCCCCAAUCCUCCAUAGAAGGUGGUUGGUCCAGGGGUGCCUGGCACCACUACAGCACAUGACUCUUGAUCUCGGGGUUGUGAGUUUGAGCCCUACUUUGAGUGUAGAGAUUACUUAAAAAUAAAAUCCUAAAAAAGAAAAGAAAAAAAAAGAAAGUGGUUGGUCCCAGGAGAGGGCUUUGCUUGGCUUGGAUUCUGCUUCCUCUGCCCCAGCUGGGACUCACCUCCGUGAAACGGGGCAGGUUUGCUGGCUUAGCAAACUCUGGCAUAAUGCUAUCGAUGGUCCCAACAAGGAAGUAGCAGCAAGCCCUAGAAAUCUUGCAAACACAGCCCUGGUGAAGCUCCUAGUCACUGUGCCAGGGCCUCAUUUCUUUAAGAGACUUAGCUGGUGGGCGAUCUCUGUUGCUGGAACAUUAUUAUUCCCAUUCUGUACGGGAGUAAACAUUGACAGAGAAUGGUUUAAUGACAUGCUCCAAAUUUCUAGGCAUGCCAGAAGUAGAGGAAAAAUUGGCUGGAAUUUCUGAUUUUCAGACCCAUGCUUUAGCUAGGAGACUCAGCUUUCAACGGACAUGUUUUAAGUGCCCAGCAGGGAAAUAAUGCAGCAGAAUCUAGUAUCUUCUAGAAGCUUUGGAUGGAAGUUACCAAAGCUCACGCUAACGUUUUAACUUUCUCACCUCUACAUAGGCAUCUAGCAAUGAAUCAUCGUUUUCCUUCUCCUUGUGAGGGGCUGCAGUGUGGGGAGGGUGAGCAGCUCAGCCAGACACACACUUGUAGGGCUGAACCAUGACCAGAGCUCCUGGCCUCCUGACUCCAGACCAGUGCUUUCCCCAUGAUGCUAGAAAGUGACCAGCUAGACUCUGGGUGCCUGAAACACAUCUGUGGUGAUUGUGUGCUAUCUGGUAUCAGCUAAGUUUAGCGGAAAUUACAUUUCCAGAAUAUCUUUCUCUGUGUGAUGCUGGGUGAGAGUUAGCCCAAGGAGAAACAGGGGCCCAACCUGGAAGGUGGGAGUAAAGCAACAGCCACUCUUCUGUGAAGGCCGCUGUGGUUCAAUGGAGUGGCUGGGGCCCAAGGGCUGGGGACUCUGGCUCAUUCUUGCUCCUUUCCAUUCCACAUCCACUUUCUUUCUUGAAAAAAAAAAAACCACCUACUUUACUGAGGUGUGACUGACACCUAAAGAGCUGUAUGUGUUUCAUGCCUGUGACUUGAUGAGUCUGGAGAGAAGUAUCCACCUGUGAGACUAGCACAACAGUCUGCCAUAAACACAUCCAUUACCUCCAGAAACUUCCACUUACUCUCCUCACUUAUUAUGAUUCCUGUUAUUAUUUUGUGUGUGAUAACAUUAAACUCAGAUCUGCCCUCUUAGCAAGUUUGAGUAUACAAUACGGCAUUGUUAACCACAGGCGGUAUACUGUGCGGGAGAUGUCUAAGACUUUCUCAUCUUCACUGAGAUUUUCUACCCUUGACCGAUGUCUCCCCACUUCCCUCUCCUCCCAGCCCCACCACCAGAUGCAGAGGGGACAAUCCUCCGUG